GGACCCGCACAAGUAGUGGAGCAUGUGGUUUAAUUCGAAGAUACGCGCAGAACCUUACCAACACUUGACAUAUUCGUCGCGACUCUGAGAGAUUAGAGUUUUCGGUUCGGCCGGACGAAACACAGGUGCUGCAUGGCUGUCGUCAGCUCGUGUCGUGAGAUGUUGGGUUAAGUCCCGCAACGAGCGCAACCCUCACUUUUAGUUGCCAUCAUUUAGUUGGGCACUCGUAGGAGACUGCCGGGGUCAACUCGGAGGAAGGUGGGGAUGACGUCAAGUCAUCAUGCCCCUUAUGCCCAGGGCUGCAAACACGCUACAAUGGCUGGUACAGAGGGCUGCGAACCCCGCGAGGGCAAGCG
rnacentral:rRNA from 1 species